CUUCUGAGAAAGAAUCUGGUCCUUUAACAUCUCCCCACCAAGUUUAGUUUUGGCUCCUCUUCCUCCAGCACAUUUUCAAAUAUUUCCACUGUGGUGCAGUGGGUUAAGAAUUCGACUGCAGCAGCUCAGGUCACUGUGGAGGCUCUGGCUCAAUCCCUGGCCCAGCACAGUGGGUUAAAAGGAUCUGGCACUGACAAAGCUGUAGGUCACAAAUGUGGCUCAGAUUCAAUCCCUGGCCCCAGAUCUUCCACAACUCCACAUGCUGUGGUGCACCCACAACAUUGAAAAUAAAAAACGGGGAGGGGACUUCUUUAGUCUCCAUUAGGUCUUGUAGUUUUCAGGCUGAAGGUAUUUCAUUAGCACAAAUUACUACACUUUCUUCAUUCUGACCCUUCAUCAUCUGUCCAUCUGUGGCAGGACAUUCCAGUUUGUCAAAACACUUCCCGGAACCACAAAGGGAUACACAUUUUGGGUGUUUAUGCUGAUCCCGUUUCGCCAUUGUGGGAACUCCAGGAUACAUAUUUUGCAAGGUGGCUCUUGGGCAUAUAUCCGGACAAAACUCUACUUAAAAGAGACACAUGCACCUGCAUGUUCACUGCAGCACUAUUCACAAUAGCCAGGACAUGGAAACAACCCAAAUGUCCACUGACAGAUGAUUGGAUUUGGAAGAUGUGGUAUAUAUACACAAUGGAAUACUACUCAGCCAUAAAAAAGAAUGACAUAAUGCCAUUUGCAGCAACAUGGAUGGAACUAGAGACUCUCAUCCUGAGUGAAAUGAGCCAGAAAGACAAAGACAAAUACCAUAUGAUAUCACUUAUAACUGGAAUCUAAUAUCCAGCACAAAUGAACAUCUCCUCAGAAAAGAAAAUCAUGGACUUGGAGAAAAGACUUGUGGCUGCCUGAUGGGAAGGGGAGGGAGUGGGAGGGAUAGGGAGCUUGGGCUUAUCAGACACAACUUAGAAUAGAUUUACAAGGAGAUCCUGCUGAAUAGCAUUGAGAACUUUGUCUAGAUACUCAUGUUGCAACAGAACAAAGGGUGGGGAAAAAAAAUGUAAUUGUAAUGUAUACAUGUAAGGAUUACUUGAUCCCCUUGCUGUACAGUGGGAAAAUAAAAAAAAAAAAAUACAUUUGUCUGUGUAACACUAAAAAAAAAAAAAACCUCCAUAAACCCAAAAGGAUUGAAAUCAUACAGAGUAAGUUUUCUGAUCCUAUGGAAUCAAACAAGAAAUCAACAACAAAAAGAGAAAAACCUUCACACACUUGGAAAGUAAACAAUAUAAUUCUAUAUAUUCCAUAGGUCAAAAAGAAGUCUCAAAUUUAAAAAAUACAUAGAACUGAAUGAAAAGGAAAACACAAGAUAUCAAAAUAUGUGGGAUGUAACUAAAGCAGUGCCGAUGAGGAAAUUUAUAGCACUAAUGCUCAUAUUAUGAAAGAGGAAAGGUCUAAAAUAAAUUACCUAAGUACUUACCUCAGGAAACUAGAAAAAAAAGAACAAAGUCACUUGAUGCAAGCAAGAGGGCAAAUAGUUAAGCAGAAAUCAGUAAAACUGAAAAUAAGAAAACAACUAGAGAGAUCGAUGAGAGAAAAAGCUGAUUCUUUGAAACAAAUCAAUAAAAUUGGUAAAUUUCUAGUUAGACUGACAAAGAAAAAGGGAGAAGGCACGAAUCAUCAAUACCAAGAAUGAAAAGGGGAAUAUCACUACAAACCCUACAGCCAGUACAAGGAUAAUAGCAAAUACUAUGUACAAGCUCAAUAACUUAGAAGAAAUGUACCAAUUUUUCAGAACCACAAACUAUCAGAACUCAACCAAGAUGGAAAAAAUCCAUUAAUCAUCAAGGAAAUCAAAUUCAUAAUUUAAAAGCUCCUAAAAAAGAAAGAAAUCUCUAGGUCCAAAUGACUUCACUGGCAGGACCUCUACCAAACAUCUAAAGAAUUAGUACAUAUUUUUAAAAUUCUUUUCCAGAAAACAUGAGGAGAAACAUUUCUCAAUGCAUUUUAUAAGGCUAGUACACCCUGGUUUUAAAACCAGACAAAAACAGUACAAAAAAGAAAACUACCACGUCAUAGUAAAUCAAAUAUACUUUAAUUUAAAAAAAAAGAGAAAAUAGGAAUCUAAUUAAAAAAAAAAACCAGAGUUCCCGUCGUGGCGCAGUGGUUAAUGAAUCCGACUAGGAACCCUGAGGUUGAGGGUUCGAUCCCUGCCCUUGCUCAGUGGGUUAACGAUCCGGCAUUGCCGUGAGCUGUGGUGUAGGUUGCAGAUGCGGCUCGGAUCCCGAGUUGCUGUGGCUCUGGCAUAGGCUGGCAGCUACAGCUCCGAUGAGACCCCUAGCCUGGGAACCUCCAUAUGCUGCGGGAGCGGCCCAAGAAAUAGCAAAAAGACAAAAAAAAAAAACAAAAAAAAACAAAAAAACAAAAAACAAACCUACACGUCAAUAUUUCUUAUGAACUUAGAUGUAAAAAUCCUCAACAAUAUAUCAGCAAUAAAUUAUACAUCAUGACUCAGGGAGAAUUUAUUCCAGGGAUAUAGAUCUGUUUCAAAAUUUAAAAAUCAAUUAUGCCCACAGCCAAUAUAAUAUUCAAUGGGAAAAAGUACUCAAUGGAGUGAAAGCCUUCCCACUAAAAUCUAGAACAAGACAAAGAUGCCCACUCUCACUACUUUUUUUCAACAUAGUAUUGGAAGUCCUAGUCAGAGCAAUCAGUCGAAAGAAAUAAAAGGUAUCCAAAUUGGAAGAGAAGAGGAAAAAUUGUCACUCUAUGCAGAUGACAUGAUACUAUAUAUAGAAAACUCUAAGGACUCCAUACAAAAACUACCUGAGCUGAUCAAUACAUUCAGCAAAGUAGCAUUUCUGUAUACUAACAAUGAAAUAUGAGAAAAGGAAUAUAAAAAUAUAAUACCUUUUAAAAUCACACUCCAAAAAAAUAAAUACCUAGGAAUAAGCCUGAUUAAGAAGGUCUUAAUGGACUUAUAUGCUGAGAACUAUAAAACAUUAAUCAAGGAAAUUAAAGAGGACUCAAAGAAAUAGAAAGAUAUUCCAUGCUCCUAGAUUGCAAGAAUUAAUACUGUUGAAAUGGCCAUACCCAAAGCAAUCUACAGAACCAAUGCAAUCCCUAUCACAUUACCCAUGACAUUUUUCACAGAACUAGAACAAACAAUCCAAAAAUUUACAUAGAACCAUAAAAGGCCCAGAUUGCCAAAGCAAUCCUGAGGAAUAAAAACCAAGUAGGAGGCAUAACUCUCCCAGACUUCAGACAGUAUCACAUAGCUGCAGUAAUCAAGACAGUGUGGUACUAGGACCAAAACAGACAUACAGACCAAUGGAACAGAGUAGAGAACCCAGAAACAAACCCAGACACCUAAGGUCAAUUAAUCUUCAACAAAGGAGGCAAGAAUAUAAAAUGAGAAAAAGUCUCUUCCGCAAGUGAACAGCUGCAUGUAAACCAAUGAAACUAGAACACAUCCUCACACAUGCACAAAAAUCAACUCAAAAUGGCUUAAAGACUUAAACAUAAGAAGACACCAUAAAACUCCUAGAAGAGAACAUAGGCAAAACAUCAACUGUACAAAUGUUUUCUUAGUUCAGUUUCCCAAGGCAACAGAAAUAAAAACAAAAAUAAACCAAUGGGACCUAAUCAAACUUACAAGCUUUUGCACAGCAAAGGAAAUCAUAAAAAAAAAAAAAAAAAAAAACCAGAAAGACAACCUAUGGAAUGGGAUAAAAUAGUUUCAAAUGAUGCAACUGACAAGGGUAUAAUCUCUAAAAUAUACAAACAACUUACACAAGUCAACAGCAAAAACAAACAACAAAAAACUGAAAAAUGGACAGAAGACCUGAAUAUCUUUUUUUCUCCAAAAAAGAUAUACAGAUGGCCAAAAGGCACAUGAAAAAAAUGCUCAACACCACUAAUUAUCAGAGAAAUGCAAAUCAAAACUACCAUGAGGUACCACCUCACACAAGUCAGAAUGGCCAUCAUUAACAAAUCAACAAAUAACAAAUGCUGGAGAGGGUGUGUAGAAAAGGGAACCCUUCUUCACUAUUGGUAGGAAUGUAAAUUGGUACAACCACUAUGAAAAACAGUAUUGUGGUACCUCAGAAAACUAAAUACAGAACUACCAUAUGACCCAGCAAUCCCACUCCUGGGCAUAUAUACAGACAAAACUUUCAGUGAAAAAGAUACAUGCCACCCAUAUGUUCAUACCAGCACUAUUCACAAUACCCAAGACAUGGAAACAACCUAAAUGUCCACUGACAGAUGAAUACACAAUGGAAUACUACUCAGCCAUAAAAAGAAUAAAAUAAUGCCAUUUGCAGCAACAUGGAUGGAACUAAAGAUUCUCAUACUGAGGAGUUCCCGUCGUGGCGCAGUGGUUAACGAAUCUGACUAGGAACCAUGAGGUUGCAGGUUCGAUCCCUGCCCUUGCUCAGUGGGUUAACGAUCCGGCGUUGCCAUGAGCUGUGGUGUAGGUCGCAGACGCGGCUCGGAUCCUGCGUUGCUGUGGCUCUGGCGUAGGCUGGCAGCUACAGCUCCAAUUGGACCCCUAGCCUGGGAACCUCCAUAUGCCGC
rnacentral:lncRNA from 1 species